rnacentral:rRNA from 1 species
UGAGUAAUGUCUGGGAAACUGCCUGAUGGAGGGGGAUAACUACUGGAAACGGUAGCUAAUACCGCAUAACGUCGCAAGACCAAAGAGGGGGACCUUCGGGCCUCUUGCCAUCAGAUGUGCCCAGAUGGGAUUAGCUAGUAGGUGGGGUAACGGCUCACCUAGGCGACGAUCCCUAGCUGGUCUGAGAGGAUGACCAGCCACACUGGAACUGAGACACGGCCCAGACUCCUACGGGAGGCAGCAUG